rnacentral:lncRNA from 1 species
AUUUUUCUAUUAUAUUUUAUUUAUUUAUUUAUAUAUUUAUUUAAUUAAUUAAUUAUUAUUUUUGUUUUUUUUUGUUUUUUCUUCGUUGUCGUUUUUUUUUUUGCAUAACACGUGGGCUUCGCCUAGCGAGCAUGACAGCUCAUGAACAAACCUUUGCUCCUUCAAGAUUAACGUUUUGACUGACGAAUAUACCCCUGUUGGAAGUAACUCAAGUCUUUCCCUUGUGUUGACUGAUCAUCUAUAUAGA